UACGGGGGGGGUAAGCGUUGUUCGGAAUUACUGGGCGUAAAGGGCUCGUAGGCGGCCAACUAAGUCAUACGUGAAAUCCCUCAGCUUAACUGGGGAACUGCGUGUGAUACUGGAUGGCUAGGAUUUGGGAGAGGGAUGCGGAAUUCCAGGUGUAGCGGUGAAAUGCGUAGAUAUCUGGAGGAACACCGGUGGCGAAGGCGGCAUCCUGGACCAAUAUUGACGCUGAGGAGCGAAAGCUAGGGGAGCAAACGGG
rnacentral:rRNA from 1 species